rnacentral:rRNA from 1 species
AGUGAACGCUGGCGGCAGGCCUAACACAUGCAAGUCGAGCGGCAGCGGGUUCCCGCGAGGGGAUGCCGGCGAGCGGCGGACGGGUGAGGAACACAUCGGAAUCUGCCUGGUUGUGGGGGAUAACGUAGGGAAACUUACGCUAAUACCGCAUGCGACCCUGAGUCGACGGACUGGGGGUGAAAGUGAGGGACCUUCGGGCCUCACGCGACCAGAUGAGCCGAUGUCGGAUUAGCUAGUUGGCGGGGUAACGGCCCGCCAAGGCGACGAUCCGUAGCUGGUCUGAGAGGAUGAUCAGCCACACUGGGACUGAGACACGGCCCAGACUCCUACGGGAGGCAGCAGUGGGAAUCUUGGACAAUGGGCGCAAGCCUGAUCCAGCCAUG